rnacentral:miRNA from 8 species
GUGAUUCUGGUAUUGCCAAACC